GACGAACGCUGGCGGCGUGCUUAACACAUGCCAGUCGAACGGAAAGGCCCUGCUUUUGUGGGGUGCUCGAGUGGCGAACGGGUGAGUAACACGUGAGUAACCUGCCCUUGACUUUGGGAUAACUUCAGGAAACUGGGGCUAAUACCGGAUAGGAGCUCCUGCUGCAUGGUGGGGGUUGGAAAGUUUCGGCGGUUGGGGAUGGACUCGCGGCUUAUCAGCUUGUUGGUGGGGUAGUGGCUUACCAAGGCUUUGACGGGUAGCCGGCCUGAGAGGGUGACCGGCCACAUUGGGACUGAGAUACGGACCAGACUCCUACGGGAGGCAGCAGUGGGGAAUAUUGCACAAUGGGCGGAAGCCUGAUGCAGCAACGCCGCGUGCGGGAUGACGGCCUUCGGGUUGUAAACCGCUUUCGCCGGUGACGAAGCGUGAGUGACGGUAAUGGGUAAAGAAGCACCGGCUAACUACGUG
rnacentral:rRNA from 1 species